GCUGAUGUGUGUGAUGACCUUCUUUCCCCGUCAGAUCGACCCUGGUGACAUGUAAUGCUAUAAAAGCCAGUUUCGUCUGAUCCAUCAGC
rnacentral:snoRNA from 1 species